rnacentral:lncRNA from 1 species
UAAAACAGAACAUAUCUUCCAAUAUGUUAUAAAGAAAUAUUACAAAAAAAACAGAACAAUUGAUCAAAUGGCUGUUAAAACAAUUUGCAUUCGAUACUACUUGCAUAAAUUCAUUCAGAAACUGUGAGAUACCAACUUCUACAACAAAUAAAAUAGAAAAGUAUCAUGUGCAUAACUAAAUAAACAAAGUCCACUUGCUUAAAACCAUUCCGGGAUUUGCAUAAUACAUGUCAGAAGCGCCAAAAUGCAACGAGUAUAGAACUACCUCGAACAGCAAGAUGAUUAACUAAAAAACCUUUUAUUUGCAACAUAAAAUUUACUUUUACAAAAUUUACGUCCACGCCAAAGAAUAUCCAAAUUCUGCAGUAAUGAAACUAGCUCCAACCCAGCAAGCAAAGAAAGCAACGCAGACAAAGACCCAGCUUUUUUAUCCAAUAGUACAUAAAAGAAUCAUAUGAAAACAGAAAAACCAGAUCCAGAUUUUAGAACCAAAGCAUAAUUCAAAACAUAACUGCUAAUCAAAAACAAAUUAUUUCAUCUCCAUUUCUAUUUCAUAUAUAUAUUGAAAAUCUAUGUAAGUGGUUUCAUAAUCUAAUUUUCAUGCGUACGACAAACCAAAUACAAAUGAUCUACACUUACCCACUAAUUGGAUAAUUUUGACUCUUCAGUAAUAUAGCCUUUAUUGGAUUUGUACAUUUCAAAUGAGUAUAACUUUAAGAACCUCCUUCAAAUCAGUAUUACAUCAAUCCGAAAUAUUCAUGUAUUUCAACAUAUUUGUAAGAACAUAACAUUAUUUCAUAACAGUUUCAAAAUUUAGCACAGCACCUGACCAGAUAACUUAUCUUUGCAUUGCUUAGUUCAUUAUUGAAGACAGUAUGGUUGAAUGGUCGGUCCCAUCUCAAACAUGAUUGAAGGAACACCUCCACUAACCCAAGAAAUAUGGUUUCAGUUUUCAAAGUUCAUUUCUUUGUAUGUUUCAUUUUUAAUUGUAUGUUUCAUUUUUAAGUGUCUUUGAAUGCAGUUUCAUUGACAGCAAUUAUUGGAAAUUUUAAGAUCAUCUCGAUGGCACAAAACAAUGAUUUCCAGAAACAUGUUGAAAGGAAUAAGACGACUAAAACAAAUUCUUCUUAUUUCUAUUUGGUUUUGCGAAGAUUAACUCAUUCAACACGGCUCUUUUUCUUUUUACCCAAUUAGUCGAUCUAACUAUAUUAAUUCAAUACAUUGCUCAAGAAAAGACUGCUGAGAAAUAAACGGGUAUAAAAACAUUGCUCAAUACAACCGGAUGAUUUUUUAGCAAAAUAGAAUAAUCUUACUGAUUUUUUCGAUGGCAGAGGAGUGCGACGGUAGAGCCCUGCGACGGUCCACGAGUGCGACGGUAGACGAGCGCCGGCAGAAGAGACGGUAGACGACAAUGCAACAGAUUUAGGAAAGGUUCGGGUCGUCGACGGCAGCAGGCUAGGUUUCUUGAUUUGGGGGAAUUUUGGGGAAAAUAGGGAGGGGAAUGGGAUUUGAAUCAAGGUUUUCGGGUAUGAGGAAAUUUGGGAGCAGAAAUAAAUUUGCAAGUUACAAAAACGAUGGCGUCUUAAUUACAAGAGAUUGAAGAUUUGCGGCGAUUUAGAAUAGCGCCAGUAAUGGCCUGAAAAAACGGUGUCGUUCUGUAUAAACUAGAGGCCAAUAAUUUGCAGCUACGCCGUUUUGGCUACAACAUUAACAAUUUGUGCGGCAUUUGUAAUAGAAACGCCG